AGGAGGCGGUGCGAGCCUCGCCUGCCAAAGGCAGCUCUGUUCCUCUGCGUGCGAUCCCGGGCGCCCCGCGCGUGGCCACCGCGCUCCGCCCGAGCCGCCGCCGGAGAGCGCGGGCGGCGGGGGCUCCGCGGGUGGCGGCGCAGCCGGGCCUCCGGGAGACCCUCCGCCUCCGGCCGGACGCCGUUCUCUGCCCCGAGGCGGGCCCGGCGUGGCCGCGGCUGUUCGGGACAGCGGCGAGGAGGAAGGGCGCUCUUCCGCGCCGUGGAUGUUCCGCCCGCGGGAGACGGCAAGUUGAGUGCGCGCCCCGGCCGCCGCCCGCCAGCCGUGGACCAUCGUCCUUACCACAGAGGAUGGAAAGUUGAUGGCCAGGAGGACUGAAGAUCCCUUCUGUUGCUAGACACCCCCCAUUACCGAAGUGUGGACUACCCGCCAUUCCCUGGUGGUUUCACGCCUUCCCUCACUCCUGCAGUCCCAGAACAGUUACUGUGGGUCCCCGUUGCCCUGUUGAAAGAUGGCAUCCAGCCUGACUUGUACCGGGGUGAUCUGGGCUUUGCUCUCCUUUCUUUGUGCUGCCACCUCCUGUGUGGGGUUCUUCAUGCCUUACUGGCUCUGGGGAUCACAGCUGGGCAAGUCUGUGUCCUUCGGUACUUUCCGGAGGUGCUCCUAUCCUGUGCAUGAUGAGAGCCGGCAGAUGAUGGUGAUGGUGGAGGAAUGUGGGCGCUACGCCUCCUUCCAGGGCAUCCCCAGUGCAGAAUGGAGGAUCUGUACCAUCGUGACGGGCCUGGGCUGUGGCCUCCUCCUCCUGGUGGCUCUCACUGCCCUCAUGGGUUGCUGUGUGUCGGAGCUCAUCUCCAGGACAGUGGGAAGAGUGGCUGGAGGAAUUCAGUUUCUGGGGGAUAUGAAUGUGGAGAGCGAGGAGAAUUUGGGAUGGGAGAAUGCAGUGCAGUCAUUUCACGUUCUAACUAAAUGCCUGAGGACGAUGUGGAAUGCGGUGCUGGGAAGGCUUGUUGAUCGGUGCGGGCUGUGCCCUCUACCCCUUGGGCUGGGACAGUGAGGAAAUCCGACAGACCUGUGGCUACAUUUCCGGCCAGUUUGACCUGGAGUGGACACUGAAGAAACACUGGGAGAAGCUCAUCUCAAAUACCAGUGAGCUUGGAACCAAGGAGAACCUCAGGACACAGAGGGGGUGAAAGAGAUCCAUUUGCAGGGGAAGAAUGAAAAGAAAGGGAAGGGAAAAUGUCAUUCCCGUGAGUCUCACUGGACACACCACCAGGCAGGCUGAGCGUGAUUGAUGGGGAAAACUACCGAGGGCCAGCAGUGUUUCGGAAGAGAAUAAAAAGACUACUUUCAGGGCAAUGCUACUCAGAGCUGCAAUUCCAUAUCAAAUAAUGUCAAUUCUUGCCAGAAUCUUGCUCAAAAGAAGAUAUUUCUAAGAUGCUCUUGAAUGUUUCUUCAAAUAAAGAUCCAAAUUCUGAUUCUGUCCUCUCCCAAUAUAAGCUUCUUAAAAGCAUUAUGUAAAUCGACAGUCACAUCUCGUGCCCUACCUGCUGCCCAGACUUCAAUCAGCCUGCCACGUGUCGUGGAGCCUAAUUCUGCACAUCAUGUGCUCAGCAUCUCUUAUGAGUCACAGUUAAUAUCAAAAGUUCCAAGGCAAGGUCACCCGCGAACAGGUGCACAUACAACGCAGGCCUCUGGAAGCACUGUUCUUGGAUACUGAGCAUCCACAAUGAUCAGAGGAUACCCGUGCAUUCCUUGGAGGGAGAAGAGAGGUGGAUGGAGAUGUGACAGUUUAGUGGACACUGUGCCCAGGCCUGGGUGAAGGAAAGGCCACGUGGUUCCUUCUUUCAGUUCCUCAUUCACUCAUUUAUUCCAUAGUAUGUACUCAGGGCCUUCAUUGUGCUGGGCACUGAGGAUGGAAAGAUUGACGGUCUUUCUGGAGAAGACAGAGAAUGAAACCAGAAGGAUCCAUACACUGUGCUAAGGGUGGGAUAAUGUGUGAGCACAGAGCAGUGGGAUCACACUGGAGAGAAGCUGACCCAGUUCUCGAAUGGUCAGGGAAGCCUUCCUGAAUGAGGAGAUAUUUAAGCUGGUAUUGGAAAGACAAGUGGCAAUUAUCCAAGGUGAUAGAGUGGUAGAGAAGCUACCAUAGGCAUUCACGUCUGAUAUGCCAAGGCUGAGAAACAGGACGGAGAGGCUUGGCUGUGGGACUCUGGGACUGUAGCACAAGGCAGGGUUGAGGUGAGGAACAAACAUAAAAGAAGACAAUGGAUGGGGCGCCUGGGUGGCUCAGUCGGUUAAACGUCUCACUUGUGAUUUUGGCUCAGGUCAUGAUCUCAUGGGUUGUGAGACUGAACCCUGUGUCAGGCUUCAAGCUCAGCAGGAACUCUGCUUGAGAUUCUCUCUUCCUCUGCCUCUGCCCCUCCUGUUUGUGCUCUCUCUCAUGCUCUCUAAAAUAAAUAAAUCUUAUAAAAAAAAGAAGAAGAAGAAGACAAUGGAGUCUGUAGCAGGGGCCAGAGCAUCUGAGUUUUUGCAGGACUGCCCAAGGAGUUUGGGAUUUAACCUGAAGGAAAUGAGAGUCACAAAGGGUUUUUACUAGGGAAUGGCAUGACCAAGUAGGAAAGUUGAGAAGAAGAAGUAUGCUGAUUUUCCUGGGUGUCUCUCCCGUGUCUUAUAGUUCUGGACAUACAAAGUUAGUUAAAUAAAAAAGGAGGUAGUGGCUUACUGCCUUGAAAAGGGUGCUUCUGCUAACAAAGGGGGCAAGCACGACUACAGAUUGCUUAGCAGAAAUGCGUAAGACCGUCUGAAGCCCACUGCCGAACACAGUGUUGGAGAGUCAGGAAGAUAACAGGAGCAAUGGUAAAUACCUUACAAAAACUGAUGGUAUAAAGGGGACUUCUGAAACGGGACCUAGAAAAGCCACAUUGGCGCUCCAACUCUCUCUUAAACCAGAAGAUAAGAGAUAACCUUUUGCAGGAACGUUGAAGGACAUGGACGUUAAAAAUAAUGUGCAAUGCUUCCUAUGUGUUACUACUCUUUGGAGAUCAAAAGUCAUUUUUAUGGGUUUAGAAAUGUAAAGAUGAAUUAUAUAUAAGUUGUUCUGCCCUGAAAAUGAGGUUGAUAUGUUGAGAUAUGAAACAUGAGAGGAAGGAAGUCCAGACCUCUGGAGAAAAUUUUCCUCUGAACUUUCAGAAGAGGCAUCAAAAAAAAAAAAAAGAAAAUCAAAGAGAAAAAACAAUUUAAUGAAAUUAGAUGAUCUCUAGUUGUUUUUAAGCUCUAGAAUUCGACUUUUGUGUGUGUGUGUGGCGUCGCGAAAGUAUUGUAACCUUUUAAAAGUGUUUUUAUGCAUGUUAUAUAAUUUAAUCUUCAACCAUUAUCUUUGGCAAAUUAUUAUUUUGAGGCCUGAAUGGAAAGAUACAACCCAUACUGUCAAAUAAACAAAUAUCAUGAACAUCUUCCUAACCCAACAUAGAUUCUUCCAAUCUGUAGCAACAUCCAAUUCAUUUUUCUUAAAUGUUGUCUUCUUUCAAAAUCGAAUGGCAAUUUAAAUUACUUCCUUGGGGGACUGGAAGCAAUCAUUUGGACACGGUAAGUAUGGGUAAAGAAAAUUCCCACAAAUUCCUUCAUAUCCAAGUGCCAUCAGCCAAGGAAAGUAGUGAGAUCUCUUUGACAGCCGCAGUGGGGACCUUAGAAAGAAAACAAGUACAGAUACCUUUUAGGGGGUGAUUUGAGAAAUGGUGCUAGGGCAGAAAGUAGUAUUU